AGGUCACAGCAGAGGGUUUGCUGCCUCAGUAUGAAACCACUGCCUGGUGUGACAAGCGGAGAGAAGGACAUUGAGUUCCAGUCAUGAUGGCUCACUUGACCCCAGCCCACCUCGUGUGCUUUCAUCAGUCUUUAAUUCUGUCCAUUACACUUGAAAGGAACAGAGAUCAUGGCCAUAAAGAUCCUUAGGAGAAAACAGAGUAAAAUUAUUCAUUUAUUGAACAAAUGUUAAUUAAGCUAUAAUAAAUGUCUGAAUAAAUCAGUGAAGCCCUCAAGCCCCUCCGGACCGUCAACUCCACAGAGAGCCCCUCUGCCUUCAUUUCUCCCUGAUCUGCUCCCAGUGCCCAGGAAAGACUGCCUGUCCUACAGGAAAGGCUCUGAUGAAGGGAGCAUGAAGUCGGCGGCACAGACUUUUCUCUGUGUAAAGCCAGUUGGCACCUACAGGGAUUGAAACCUGCCGUCAGCUCAUGAGCACAGCCCUGUGACUAACUGAGCCAACUGGUCAUUCCAGCACUCAUGCUCUACCAGGUGAAGCGGCUCUCUGUGGCCUGAAAAACCGGACCCCGAUUACCUACAAGGGAAGAUCUGUGAGUGACUGCAGUGACCCAAGAUCCAUGGCCAUCCGGGAGCAGCAAGUACUACUGUCAUCGUUCAUUUGGAGCCAACAAGGAGUGGAUGACAAACCCAAGGGUCUAGCUUUACAUCGACAAAGUCUCUGGGACCAAAAACCCAUUAUCUUGAUACCAUGUAGUUUUCAGAGACAGCAUUUGCAUGUCAGCAAUAAGACCUGGUGUCAGGGCCCCUCCCCAGGCACCUAACUUGUCACCAAGCCUGAUAAGAGGAAGCAUGCUUUUUCCUAGUUUUUAGCACAGUAACCACCAAACAAAAUUGCUAAUGAAGAAAAAAUAUGCCUUUGCUUGUGGCUUAAUACAUAUUUCCUUUUCUCUCAAAGGCUUGCACAUUUCAAAUGUAAUCUGCUCUUUGGGGGCACGUUCUCCCUAGAAGAGUCUAGUGGUGAAGAGCCUCAGCUUCAACCAGGAGGACCCUUUUCUAAUUGCAUCAUGUUGAAUAAGUUACUUAAAUUCCCUGAGACCAGAUUUCUUAUCAUUAAGUGGAAAUACUAAUAGCCCUACCUGUAAGGUUGUUGGGAAUAUUUAAACAAGAUUAUAUAUAUGUGUGUGUGUGUGUGUGUGUGUGUAUAAAAUGCUUAGUACAAAACCUAACCUAGUUAAUGCUCAAUACAGUUAAAUAUUACGAUUACUAAAUGAACUAAUAAAUAUACACAUGCCCAGUACAGCUUGGUGGUUAACAAAUGUUAGGAUAAUAUUUGUAAACUGUGGGGCACUAUUCAUAUGUCAGGUCUGAAUAUUAUUAGCACUUGCCUUAGUGAUGAAGCUUUCAGUUCAGUCAUGGUCCAGUAAGAGAUGAGUCAGAAGGAAAAUUAGGGCACACAGCAGAUGGCUUUCCCAAGCAUAUGACCUAUUCAGUCUUGAAAAUCAGCCCAGGCACUGGUCAACUGCAGUCCUUGGGUAUUCUGCAUUUGAAUCGCUAUCAAAUAUUUUCCUCUCUUUCCAUCCUUGCUAAAAGGAAUGACCUUUCUUCUUUAAAACACAGAACACUCCAAGGAAAGCAUUAGAAGGAGAAAGUUCAAAUCUGGCCUUUGACCUUACCCUCUCCUAGAAUCAUUCUCCUUCCUACUGCCUGCAUUGCAAUCUGGUCCAUGGGAAUGCAUUAGAGCUCACACCUGGAUGAAGUCCCCUUUCUUUAGUUUCUCUCAGGAUGUCUAAACGUGGCUGAGCUGUUUAAGAACUUGACUGCCAGCCCAUGGUUCUUGAACCCAUUGACAAUGAAGCUGUGUGUUUCACAUGACAAAAGACCUUUUGCUUCUCUUUCCUGAUUGUUUUCAUUUGUUGUUUUGGCUCCCUCUUGCUGGACACUGCAGGCAUCAGAUAAUAAGCAGAGCUCUCAACUGACAGGUCUGGGGUGCAGCAAAAUGGGCCAGAGCUGAGGAAAAGGCACUGCUAGGGUGGGCUCGGUAAUUAUGUGGUGUUAGAGCACGCUUUUGAUCCUAUUUGAACAUGUCUAAUUUAAUGAACUCUUGAAAUUCUUUUCAAGGAUGCAGAUGAUUUAUGGCAUACUAGAACUCUACUUCAGCAGUUCCUAAAGCAUGGCUUGUGCAUCUCUGGAGGCCCCUGAGACUCUGGGGUUCCCUGAGGCCAAAACAACUGUCAUAAUAAUGCCAGGAUAUUAUGGGACCUUUUUUACUGGGUUGACAUUUGCACUAAUGGCACAAAAACAAUAGUGGGCAUAACUCUGUGAAUCAAAAGAGUGGUAUCUAACUGUACUUCUUAUUUGGCAUUGUGUUCUUUAACCUCACACACUGUCAGUAAAAAAAAAGAAAAUAUCAGUUUUACUUAAAAAUGCCCUUAAAGAAGCAGUAAAAAGUAUUCAUUUUAUUAAACCAAAAUUUUUGAGUACAUGGAACACCAUUUUUACUUAAAAGAAUAACCGAGGGCUUCCCUGGUGGCGCAGUGGUUGGGAGUCCGCCUGACGAUGCAGGGGACACGGGUUCGUGCCCCGGUCCGGGAAGAUCCCACAUGCCGCGGAGCGGCUGGGCCCGUGCGCCAUGGCCGCUGAGCCUGCGCGUCCGGAGCCUGUGCUCCGCAACGGGAGAGGCC